rnacentral:tRNA from 1 species
AAUUUUAUAGUUAAAUUUAUAACAUUAAAUUGCAAGUUUAAAAUUAUAAUUAUUUUAAUUAUUAAAAUUU